GCAGCCCAGUGUUACAGCGCCUCCUUGCCAUUUUUUUGGCGAUUCAAGGUUUUUUUUUUUGCGUGGGAGCCUUCAAAAUUUGGAGGAGUCAACUGUUUUAAGGGAUGGCACGUCCACCCACGGGUCGCAAUCAGACUCGGCAGCCUUUGGAAGGCGGGUCCCCCGACCCGGCCCAAGUACCGGAAGGAGAUGGGCCCUCAAAUAGGGACCAAUCAGGAUGCGAGAUAGACCGGUCAUGGAUGUACAAGGAACGAGGGCCAGAGUUCAUUGUUGGCAUCGAGGCUUUUUUGAGGGCUGCCGCGGCGUACAAGAAGCCAAAAGGGAAGCGUGACGAGCACUAUAUAUGUUGUCCGUGUGUCGACUGCAAGAAUGAGAAGCAGUUUUCAA